rnacentral:misc_RNA from 1 species
AUAAAUUGUGACGGAUGAUAUUCCUUUUUUAGUUUUAUUCAGCUUGAAAUCCUUAGGCUAAGGAAGUUCCUACGUAACUCAGCUCCUCAUUAACCCUUAUCAAGGUUCAUCUAUCAAAGUUAUGUCAUCAAAGAAUAACUUUUGUAUAUGUUCACUUUAGUCAUCCGUGGCCAAUGCUAGAAGAUCAAGGACUCAAUGUUGAUCCUUGAUUAAGCCAAAUUUGAUGGGAAUUUCAUUUGUGUCAUGACCGUGAUUACUAGCAUCGAUGAGAGGUUUUUAGGUACAUAUCCCUAAACUGUGUAAAUCGCAUUACCAAUCUUUCCAAGACAUAAAUUUCAGCAGAAUUCUAUCAAGGGCAGAUACUUUUCUUGCUUUCAUCUUUUUGAGUUCACCAUUUUUUUUCACAAUAUUUUGCAAAGUUGGUAGCACUCUUGGAGUUUGUUAUGGAAAAU